rnacentral:rRNA from 1 species
GUGAUCCGGUGAUCCUAUGCUGCCUAGAAAAGCAUCGGCGCGAGGUUCAAACUGCCCGUACCCUAAACCGACACAGGUGGUCAGGUAGAGAAUACUAAGGCGAUCGAGAGAAUCAUGGUUAAGGAAC